rnacentral:rRNA from 1 species
UACGUAGGUCCCGAGCGUUAUCCGGAUUUAUUGGGCGUAAAGCGAGCGCAGGCGGUUAGAUAAGUCUGAAGUUAAAGGCUGUGGCUUAACCAUAGUACGCUUUGGAAACUGUUUAACUUGAGUGCAGAAGGGGAGAGUGGAAUUCCAUGUGUAGCGGUGAAACGCGUAGAUAUAUGGAGGAACACCGGUGGCGAAAGCGGCUCUCUGGUCUGUAACUGACGCUGAGGCUCGAAAGCGUGGGGAG